rnacentral:siRNA from 1 species
UGUUACUCGACCUGAUACUCGA